UAACGGCGUCACUGCUGUACUGAAAAACUGCUGUAUAGCCGUUGUCACAUCCUGUCCCACUAUCAUUUAAUACCUCCGAAAGAACAAGGGUGGAAAACCAUCUGGCCCUAGCGCCUUGUCCCCCUCGAGGGACCACACUGCCUCUCUGAUCUUCCUCUCCGACACCGGCCUAAUCAACGCUGCAAUCUCCUCCAACACUCGGACCGCAGGCAUCGGCAUCACCGCUCGACUCCCAUCCCCCGUUUGCUUUGUCCACCUAGCUUUGAAGAAGCCCUCCACCACCCUCCGAAUCAUAGCAUGAUCAUCUGACAGCUGCCCAUACUCACCCUUGAUGACUCUGAUCCUAUUCUGGUGCCUCCUGAUCACCGUCGCCUGAUGAAAGAAUCUGAUAUUUCAAUCCCCCUCCAAAAUCUACUGAAUUCUGGAUUUCUGUCUUCAUAGUGUCUCCUGCUAUCUGAGAAGAGAAUCAUGUAAAGCCAAAUGCAAUCUAAGCUCCCCCACCUCCUCCUCCGAUAAUCCUUCCCUCUGUGCCUCCUAGGACUGUAAUAUGGCAAUGAACUCCUCUUCCUCCUCCGUCCUCCUGAAAAUAUUCCACACUUCCUCACGGUUCCACCUCCGCAACCGCCUCCUAACCAACUCCAACUUGCGGAACACCCGAUACAUAGCAUCUCCUCUAACCGGGGCACGCUAUGCCUCCCUCACCAUCUCCCAGGACCGAGGGUAGCAAAGCCAAAACUUCUUAAAUCU
rnacentral:lncRNA from 1 species